GCGAUGAAGAUUGGUGCUUGCACCAAUUUGAAGAGCAGCGAACGGGUGAGUAACGCGUGGGGAAUCUGCCUUUGAGCGGGGGACAACAUUUGGAAACGAAUGCUAAUACCGCAUAAUAACUUUAAACAUAAGUUUUAAGUUUGAAAGAUGCAAUUGCAUCACUCAAAGAUGAUCCCGCGUUGUAUUAGCUAGUUGGUGAGGUAAAGGCUCACCAAGGCGAUGAUACAUAGCCGACCUGAGAGGGUGAUCGGCCACAUUGGGACUGAGACACGGCCUAAACUCCUACGGGAGGCAGCAGUAGGGAAUCUUCGGCAAUGGACGAAAGUCUGACCGAGCAACGCCGCGUGAGUGAAGAAGGUUUUCGGAUCGUAAAACUCUGUUGGUAGAGAAGAACGUUGGUGAGAGUGGAAAGCUCAUCAAGUGACGGUAACUACCCAGAAAGGGACGGCUAACUACGUGCCAGCAGCCGCGGUAAUACGUAGGUCCCGAGCGUUGUCCGGAUUUAUUGGGCGUAAAGCGAGCGCAGGUGGUUUAUUAAGUCUGGUGUAAAAGGCAGUGGCUCAACCAUUGUAUGCAUUGGAAACUGGUAGACUUGAGUGCAGGAGAGGAGAGUGGAAUUCCAUGUGUAGCGGUGAAAUGCGUAGAUAUAUGGAGGAACACCGGUGG
rnacentral:rRNA from 1 species